CUUUCUCCGCCGGCGACCGGCGCACGGGUGAGUAACACGUAUGCAACCUGCCCCUGUCAGGGGGACAACCCGCCGAAAGGCGGGCUAAACCCGCGUACAUGCCACCGGGGCAUCCCGGAGGCAGGAAAGGCUUCGGCCGGACAAGGAUGGGCAUGCGGCGCAUUAGGCAGUAGGCGGGGUAACGGCCCACCUAACCGACGAUGCGUAGGGGUUCUGAGAGGAAGGUCCCCCACACUGGUACUGAGACACGGACCAGACUCCUACGGGAGGCAGCAG
rnacentral:rRNA from 1 species